AACGAACGCUGGCGGCAGGCUUAACACAUGCAAGUCGAGCGGAAGUUGAAGAGCUUGCUCUUCAACUUUAGCGGCGGACGGGUGAGUAACACGUGGGCAACCUGCCCUGCAGAUCGGGAUAACUCCGGGAAACCGGUGCUAAUACCGAAUAGUUUUCGCCACCUCCUGGUGGCGUACGGAAAGACGGUUUCGGCUGUCACUGCAGGAUGGGCCCGCGGCGCAUUAGCUAGUUGGUGGGGUAACGGCCCACCAAGGCAACGAUGCGUAGCCGACCUGAGAGGGUGAUCGGCCACACUGGGACUGAGACACGGCCCAGACUCCUACGGGAGGCAGCAGUAGGGAAUCUUCCGCAAUGGACGAAAGUCUGACGGAGCAACGCCGCGUGAGUGACGAAGGUUUUCGGAUCGUAAAACUCUGUUGUGAGGGAAGAACAAGUACCACUUAACUACUGGUACCUUGACGGUACCUCACCAGAAAGCCACGGCUAACUACGUGCCAGCCGCCGCAGUAAGAC
rnacentral:rRNA from 1 species